rnacentral:tRNA from 1 species
CGGGGCGUAGCGCAGCCUGGUAGCGCACUAGUAUGGGGUACUAGAGGUCGCUGGUUCAAGUCCAGUCGCCCCGACCA